UACGUAGGGGGCUAGCGUUGUCCGGAAUCAUUGGGCGUAAAGAGCGUGUAGGCGGCCCGGUAAGUCCGCUGUGAAAGUCGGGGGCUCAACCCUCGAAUGCCGGUGGAUACUGUCGGGCUAGAGUGCGGAAGAGGCGAGUGGAAUUCCUGGUGUAGCGGUGAAAUGCGCAGAUAUCAGGAGGAACACCGAUUGCGAAGGCAGCUCGCUGGGACGUCACUGACGCUGGAGACGCGAAAGCGUGGGGGAGCAAACAGG
rnacentral:rRNA from 1 species